rnacentral:misc_RNA from 1 species
GGAAGUUCUCUAAGAGGCAGUGAAAUAUCAAACUCUGGCCUACCAAAUUCAUCUGGUGAUGGUUCUCUUGACCUUCCUGGGGGUUCUGAGGUUCUUAGUAUGGCAGGGGNNNNCUUGGCAGCACGGAGUUGCAAUUUACAGGUGAUGCACAAAUAGUCCUUCCAUUGGAUCAGCGUCAUAAAAUGAACAGGGUUCUAACAACCAUGCAGCGGAGAUUAGUCACAACAAAAACAGACAUGGAGGACCUUAUAGCAAGAUUAAAUCAAGAAGUAGCUGUAAAAGAUUACCUUUACAAAGGUCAAGGAUUUGGAGGCAGAACUUGAAACUACCAAACAGAAAAAUAAAGAAAACCUGCAGCAGGCUAUUUUAAUUGAGAGAGAAAGGCUUACACAAAUGCAGUGGGAUAUGGAGGAACUGAG